rnacentral:rRNA from 1 species
CGCGGCCUAUCAGCUUGUUGGUGGGGUAAUGGCCUACCAAGGCGACGACGGGUAGCCGGCCUGAGAGGGUGUCCGGCCACACUGGGACUGAGAUACGGCCCAGACUCCUACGGGAGGCAGCAGUGGGGAAUAUUGCACAAUGGGCGCAAGCCUGAUGCAGCGACGCCGCGUGGGGGAUGACGGCCUUCGGGUUGUAAACCUCUUUCAGUAGGGACGAAGCGCAAGUGACGGUACCUACAGAAGAAGCACCGGCCAACUACGUGCCAGCAGCCGCGGUAAUACGUAGGGUGCGAGCGUUGUCCGGAAUUACUGGGCGUAAAGAGCUCGUAGGUGGUUUGUCGCGUUGUUCGUGAAAUCUCACAGCUUAACUGUGAGCGUGCGAGCGAUACGGGCAGACUGGAGUACUGCAGGGGAGACUGGAAUUCCUGGUGUAGCGGUGGAAUGCGCAGAUAUCAGGAGGAACACCGGUGGCGAAGGCGGGUCUCUGGGCAGUAACUGACGCUGAGGAGCGAAAGCGUGGGGAGCGAACAGGAUUAGAUACCCUGGUAGUCCACGCCGUAAACGGUGGGUACUAGGUGUGGGUUUCCUUCCUUGGGAUCCGUGCCGUAGCUAACGCAUUAAGUACCCCGCCUGGGGAGUACGG